rnacentral:rRNA from 1 species
UACGGAGGGUGCGAGCGUUAAUCGGAAUUACUGGGCGUAAAGGGUGCGUAGGUGGUUGAUUAAGUUAUCUGUGAAAUUCCUGGGCUUAACCUGGGCUGGUCAGAUGAUACUGGUUGACUCGAGUAUAGGAGAGGGUAGUGGAAUUUCCGGUGUAGCGGUGAAAUGCGUAGAGAUCGGAAGGAACAUCGGUGGCGAAGGCGGCUACCUGGCCUGAUAAUGACACUGAGGCACGAAAGCGUGGGGAGCAAACAGG